GUCGUCCUUGUUACACGGAUUGAAACCACAACGGACAUACAGUUUCGCCUCACCAUGAAUCACACAAAGUCUUUGGAAUUCCUUCUCCUACUGAAGUUGUGGUUUUUGUGGAGUGUUGCUGCUUCAAAAUCUGCCAUCGUUCUGUGGAUCAUCUUGUCGUAAAAGGUUGCCCAAACACACAGGAGAUCCCAGAGUGUGACUAUUCUGUCCACCCUGCUGUUGGACACCACUGACAGACUCCUGAUCUCCACCAGGACCUUGGUCAGCUUCAGGACAUGCUGGUGCCAACUGGGUCACCUAACCGGGCUGCAGUUCCAGAGGAGAUAUCUGGCCCAGAGAUGGCGGGCUCUUCAUCCUCCUCUGGGAGACCAGUGACAGCUGCAGCCUCGUCUGGAGCGUCAGGGUCCACGCGGACAUCCUGCUGGUACAGGUACUGAACCCAGAUGAGCUUCUCUUCAGUAAAGACAAAGAGUUCAGUUAAUUUUUGUAGAUUGAUAUGAAAUCAGUUCUACACCUCUGGCCUCUUUUGAUAUUAUUCACCUGAGUACAUGGCCAGUUUGGUGAAAUCAUUAACCAUCUGAAAGCCAAGCACCCUUUGGUUCUUCUGGUUAAGCAUGUGCUUGAGGUGUCCACUGUGCAGAGGUGACAGAUGUUCCUCAGCUGCAGCCGGAGGUGCAGCUGCUUCUGCGUGGUCCCCGUUCCACCUCACCCGUUCAUCUAUCAAGAACGCCAGGAAGUAUUUGGGUCUUGCAGAAGUCUCUGAGGGAACCGUGUAAACAUCAGCAGUUAGGUUAACA